rnacentral:rRNA from 1 species
AUGGCAACGGCCACAAUGGCGACGGCUGCCGGCGCCGCCGCGCUGCUCUACUACACGCUCAACCGCCGCCUGCACACGGAGAAGCUGGACAGGGAAGGGGACUCGGACGGCGAGAGUGGCAGGGACGCGGCGGCGGGCGGCGCGCUGGAGUCCCAUAGCAUGAGCCGGGUGUCGCGGAGGGAUGUGCGUGCCCCAGCCACGUGGCUGGAGACCAUCUCGACCCUGUCAGAGACGCUGCGCUUCACGUACUCUGAGACCCUUGGGAAGUGGCCCAUCGGGGACCUCGCCUUCGGAAUCAGCUUCCUCCUCAAGAGACAGGGAAACUUAUCUGUAGCAAGCAUAUAUGCUGGAGAUGAUAGUGUGGAGCUCAAAGGAGCUUCGGUAGUUACGGACUUGAAGUAUCUUUUGAAUUUGUUGACACUGUGUUGGCAUUUUUCCAAAAAGCCAUUCCCGUUAUUUUUGGAAGCUACUGGCUACUCCACAGAGGAUGUUCUUAUGCAAGAACCUAAAGCAGGAAUUUUGAAGCCAGCUUUCACCAUUUUACUUGAUAGAGACAGACAAUGUAUACUUCUACUAAUUAGAGGCACCCACAGUAUCAGGGAUACCCUGACAGCUGCUACAGGUGCUGUGGUUCCAUUCCACCAUACAAUAGUCAAAGAAGGUGGUGUUAGUGAUCUAGUUUUGGGGUAUGCACAUUUUGGGAUGGUCGCAGCGGCUAGAUGGAUUGCAAAGCUUGCAACUCCUUGUCUCACAGAAGCAUUACAUUUGUAUCCAGACUAUAAAAUAAAGGUUGUUGGACAUUCACUUGGAGGUGGUACAGCAGCUCUCUUGACAUAUGUCCUGAGGGAACAGCAGGAGUUUGCCUCUGCUACUUGCGUGUCAUUUGCUCCAGCUGCUUGUAUGACAUGGGAGCUGGCUGAGUCAGGAGUACAUUUUAUCACUACAGUCAUCAAUGGAGCUGAUUUGGUGCCAACAUUUUCGGCGGCGGCAGUAGACGAUCUUCGUUCAGAGGUGACGGCAUCUGCUUGGCUGAAUGAUCUCCGUCACCAAAUUGAGCAAACUAGAAUCCUGAGCACUUUCUAUCGAUCUGCAUCUGCCUUGGGAUCGCGACUUCCUUCUAUAGCAAAUGCUAAAGCUAGAGUAGCUGGUGCUGGUGCCAUCCUAAGACCUGUAUCUAAUGGGACACAGGUUGUAAUGAGGAGAGCUCGCAGUGUAGCACAAGCAGCGUGGACAAGACCGGGGCUACAACUAUCCUCAUGGGCUUGUAUUGGGCCAAGGCGACGGAAUACUACCUCAAUUGUCACAUCAGAAGAAAUAACAACUUCCACUACCAAUGGUGGCUCUGAAUCCACUUCACUAUUGACGGAGACCACGAUGGAAACCACAGAGAUAGUUACAUCUGAAACCACGCAGUAUGCUGCAUCAGAAGAGGUCCAGAGCACCAUCUCGGCAUCCGAUGCUGUUGGUACCUUGGAUGACAAGGUAGAUAGUGACGGUGAAGACAUCAUCGAUCAUCACGUGGAUGAGGACAGGAUCACCGAAGUAGAGCUGUGGCAACAACUCGAAAACGAGCUGUACCGGAAAAGGGAAGGGGAGAACGACAUAGUGGAAGAGAUGACUGAAAGUAACAUUGCCGAGGAAGUUGGCGGCAGAGCUCAAGAUGUCCUCAGUGAACCCAACGAGAAGGAGGUCCACAGAUUCUACCCACCCGGGAAAAUCAUGCACGUAAUAACAUCCACAAGAGAAGCAGCCAUAGACGACGACGAGACCAGCGAACAUGAGGAUGAAGAGCCAGACCUUCACCAAGUUGAUGCUGCCGGGGAGUCGGAGACAAGCAUAGGGAUCUUCUUGACGCCAAGAUCUCUGUAUGGCAAGCUGAGGCUGUCUAAGAUGAUGAUCAACGAUCAUUACAUGCCGAUGUACAGAAGAAACAUCGAGCAGUUGGUUGCGGAGCUUGAGAAAGACCUGGCUCUGUAG